rnacentral:rRNA from 1 species
UCGGGAAUUUUGGGCAAUGGGCGAAAGCCUGACCCAGCAACGCCGCGUGAGGGAUGGAGUAUUUCGGUAUGUAAACCUCGAAAGAAUGGGAAGAAUAAAUGACGGUACCAUUUAUAAGCUCCGGCUAACUACGUGCCAGCAGCCGCGGUAAUACGUAGGGAGCAAGCGUUGUUCGGAUUUACUGGGCGUAAAGGGCGCGUAGGCGGCGCGGUAAGUCACUUGUGAAAUCUCUGAGCUUAACUCAGAACGGCCAAGUGAUACUGCUGUGCUAGAGUGCGGAAGAGGCAACCGGAAUUCUUGGUGUAGCGGUGAAAUGCGUAGAUAUCAAGAGGAACACCUGAGGCGAAGGCGGGUUGCUGGGCCGACACUGACGCUGAUGCGCGAAAGCCAGGGGAGCAAACG